CUUUCAUCGUUUGGACGUUUGGAAAUAUUGAGGAAGCGAUAUAAAAUCAUGGACCAAGGUAAUCAGAGGUGGUAAUUAACUAAUUAUUGAAUGAAGUAAGUCAAGGUGGGUAGGUUGCAAUCAUAGUAUAGUAUUGCCAAGUUCAACGAAGCAAACACGAGCAACUACGAAUACAUCCGAAAAACUUCAAUUGGGGUAGCAAACCACCCUAGCUGAAUGGCAGGUGCAUUCCUCACCAGCUGUGGGCCGAAACCAUGACAACGACACAAAUCUGUAUUCAGUUUAGUAAGUGUUAAGAGUUUAGAAAAAUAAAUUUUCAAUAUUUAAUAACUUAUAAGAUGGCCGACUGUAUUGCUAGAGUUGCAAUUAUUGUUCAAUUUAUAUUGUUGGCAAUUCUGUGGACUGAAGUCAUCGAAAUUGAACUCGACGGAGAAGAUAUCGCUCACAGCACUAAAAUAUCACCCUUGCAAAAAUUAUGGCUUGCUAUUGAUUGGAAACGUAUUUUCGUCGGUGGUGUUUUUGGUAUGAUAAUCGGUAUGAUCUUUGCUGCUGUUGAAGCAUGUGUCACUCGCAUCUAUCGUCAACUAAGAGUAAGAUCGCUGAAGCAGAAAACGCAGGAUUCAAUGAAAAAAUCCGCAAAUGAUAAUUUACAAGAGGUGAAAAUUGAAACCAACAAGACUCUAAAACUUUAACUCUAGCUGUUAUUUUAAUUCCAGUAUUAAUUAUGAGAAAUCCACUCUAUUUCAAGACUGACGAUUCUUUGUGAUACCUAUGUGAAAACUUUUACUUAUUAAUUUUUCAAUGAGACAUUUAAGUACCUAUGUUAUUGUUUUGCAAGUUGUAUACCUACAGGGUGAGGCAUGGGAACCUGACACAUUUGUUUUGUCCAGCGCGUCAAGAGGAAUGAUAGGCGGGACUUCCGCGACCCCGCGUCUGAAAGUAGAAGGAUGAAGGUUUUUUUUCUUUUUAGUAGCUUGCGAAUAUUCAUCACUGGAUGAUGGUGCAUCAUACGUUUAUUUUUGAGCAGAUUUAUGGCCACGGCUCAUAUAUUACGAGGGGCGGUUAAAGAGUAAUGCAUCCUGCGUUCAUGUGGCAAGCCUAAUUCAAGUAUUGAACUGAGUGAGUGCUUAUUUUGUAGCCUGAAGUCUCAGGAACACGAUGGUGUAUUCACUUUUUUGAUACGAUUCAUAGAAAAAAUGUUGAACAAACCCGAAGUUUCUGGAAAAGAUUUUCAUUUUAUGGUCAACACAGGAUACAGUCAACGAGUCAUCAACGAAGUAGGUGUAGGUACACAAUUCGCCAGUCCCCGAUCCGUCAGAGUGCGCUAGUGUGGUCGUUGGUGAUGAGACCAUUCUAGGAUUGUGCAGGUAUCCUAUGAUGAGAUCUGUAUUAAUAUUGAAUGGAAGCAAAUUAAUGCGUAACGUUGAAAUCCGUUUUUCUCGGAACUGAAGGGGUUUAGGAAAAUUUUUGUCAGAACAUAAAUUGAAGAGGACGAAAUUUCCUAUCGAUUGGUAUAUUUUUCUUCGAGUUUCGUACAGAAAUGGCGAUUUUUUUAAACAUUUUUAUGGACAGAUUUUUUAAAAUGUCAACUUUAAAUUGAAAUUACGGAAAAUUUUCAGUGGACACAUAGGUACUUUAAUAUACCAAAAUGUUCAGAAUUUCAUCCCCUUUCAAAUGGUUUUUUACCGAAAGCGCUAGCAGUUACCGUUCAAAAGUUUCCAAAGUUCAAAGCUUUGAACUUUCACAACUUUUGAUCGAAAAGUCCUAGAGCUCUGGGGAAAAAACGAGGUUGUAGAGGAGAAAGAGUAGAUCAUUUUUCAUGUUUCAAACACCUAUGUGCUCGAUCAAAUUUUCGAUUUAUUAAAGUUCAAAGUUUCAAGGUUGAAAUUUUUUUACAUUUAAAUUAAAAUAAAUCAAAAUUUUGAUCGAGCACAUAGGUUUUUGAAGAAUGAAAAAUGAUCUACUUUCUUUCCUCUACAAUCUGGUUUUUAAUUCAAAUCUGUAGCAUUAACCAUUCAAAAAUUAUUCAAGAAAAACUAAGAAAUUGGGCAAGAUACCAUAAGACAAUCGAGUGGCUAUCCUAGGAUGGGGUAAUUCACAACUUCUCCACCAGAGCGCGUAUCUUUGGUGGGGACUUGCGAAUCAUGCGCGUUUUUUCUUCCGCAACUGAAGGGAAACGAUCGUCUGAGUCGUGUUGAGUCGCGCCUGGCGUCUGAAAGAUGGCGCUACGUGCCACAAUUCCGAAAAAACAUUUCAGUAUCGAAUAAUUUUUACGCAACGCUGAUUUUGUCUGGCUGCCGCGUUCGCCAGAUUUAUCUUAUUGUAAUUACCAUCUGUAGGAUACUUGAAGUCCGGAGUGAAAAUAAAUGAACCAAAAACCCUCCAACAAUUAAAACGAAAUAUUAUGAGUGAAAUCGGUGAAAUUUCGGGAGAAUUUUUGAAAAAGUUUGAGAAAAUUUCCCGAAAAAACCUUGAAAAUUGUAUCGUUAAAGAGGGCGAUCAUUUAAGCAGCAUAAUUUUUAAAACUAAGUGAUAAAUAAACCUUCAUCUUUCUACUAUUUUUUGGUGUAUUUAUUUUUUCAAAUGGUUCAGACUGAGUUAGAGUUUUUGCAGUUGUAAAUGUGUCAGGUUCCCGUGCCUCACCCUGUAUUUAAAAAAAUUGUACAAGGUAACUUCGAAUACAUUUAUGUUUCUGUCAUUGAGAUGGAUUUUGGAAGUAGUCGAGCUAGAUAACGAGAGUGAAGCAAACAUUUUCAGCUCGAAAGCCAACUAUUUCAGAAAUCAUGACAGUGAAGUUGAUGCUUCGGUUGAAAAAAUGACACCAAAAAAAUGUACCUAUCUUAAAAUGAUUACAAUUUUACAUAAUUAUGUAUCUAGUAUAACAUUUUUUAUACAAAUAUUGUUCUUGUAAGGAAAAGUGCCAUUCUUAAUAAAUUUUCGGCGAAAAA